UCAGGAUCUACCUGUCUCUGUGCCC
rnacentral:piRNA from 1 species